ACCUUUCCAUUCUUUCUUGCAGGGAAUACUUUUUCUUCACCUCUCCAGUCCAGCCAGCCCCAUCUGGGUAUUUUCAAGUCAAUGUCCUUUGGAAAACGUGGCACUUGAGACAAAAGCCAGCUCUCCAGAUGUGACCUGACUUGACAAAGUGCAGUAGGGCUCUCCCCCCUUAAUCCCGCCCCACUUCUUCUCUUGCUGCAGAAGGGUGUUAGCACUCUCAGUGGUCCCAGAUUCUUUUGAUCAUGCCUUUGCCUGCCCCAGACCUACUUACCAUCUCUAAGCCCUUCCACUAUUUAGUUUCUCUCUAGUUUCAUUCAUGUCUUCUUUUGUUACACUGUUGGCUUUUGUCCUUCUAUCAGACAAAACUGCCUGGCUUUCAGGUAAGUGGAAGUUCCCAUAUACCUCUGACUUAAUCAGUCAUGUGACCAACACUUGCUUCUGCUUCACUUUUUAAAAACUUGCUGACCUCUGGCAGUCGUUACUUCCCUCAAACCAUCAUUUUCUCUUUCUAUAUACUAUAGGAGGACUCGUUCCUUUUUCAGGUCUUAUUUCAAGUCCACGUUCUCUGAAAACCCUCUAGACCAUGCUUUUCUAGCUCCUGUGUGUGCGUGUGCAUGCUCAGUCACUCAGUCAUGUCUGAGUCUUUGUGACCCCCUGGACUGUAGCCUGCCAGGCUCCUCUGUCCAUGGGACCUUCCAGGCAGGAAUACUGGAGUACCUUGCUAUUUCCUUCUCCAGGGGAUCUUCCCAAUGCAGGGAUCGAACCUGCGUCUCCUAUGUCUCCUGCUUUAGCAAGUAGGUGGAUUCUUUACCACUUUACUGAGCCUCCUGGGAAGCACUCCUUUUCAAAGGGUCUCUCAUUGGCUGAUCCUCAAAUAGGAGCCAGAGGCUCAAGGAUCCUGGCCUUAUCCUCCUGGUGCCCGACGCAAGACAGAGAAGAGUAGAGAAUGGAUUUUGGGGUGAAAUUAAUGUUUGUCCCUCCAAGGUCACUUUUGGGUCUGUGAAUUCAGGUUUAUAUUCAUUCUUCUGUUAGUUUUAUUUGCCCCCUUUCACAUGCUGAGCACAUACGUAGUAAUAACAGCUGUAAUCACUGUUGAGAUAGACAGCAGUUGGCUAUUGAUUUUGAGAGAACAGCAGGUAGCCAAUGGCCAUGGAUGUGCAAAACUUUGUUUCUAAAUGCACAGACUGAAAGAAAAUGUGCAAAAAAGCAGAUUCAAUUUCAAACCACAUUGUCAGAGUAAUUUCAUCUGAGUCAGUGAGAACCUGACAUGUGAAUAUGACAAGGAGGGUGUGGGGCCCAUGACCCAUCGCUAUUUCUCAUGCCUCUUCUACUUCUUUGACGUUCGAGAAAUGCUUUAGGCAUCGGAUCAGCAAGAAUUUGGUGCCAGCCAGGAACUAGAAUGAAUGGAACGUGGCCCAGCUAAAGAAUUAAGAAUUCCACUCCACAGCGCUUCAUCUUCAUCCCUGCUUAGCUCCUAGAUGCAGCCUAAAUCCUCCCAGCUUCUUCCCUCUUAUCUAACUGCACUGUGGUUAUUAAGCAAGUUGUGGAUCUAUUCCACAUCCUCUUCAAUGUCAGUACUUUGAAAACUACACAAUAUAAGCCUUAAUGAAGAUGGCAUGCCUCAGAAUGACUUAGAACUGAAAAUAUGACUACAUCAGAAGUCUUUAGAAGGCAAGAUUUUAAUGGCUGAAUAAUAUGCUGGAACAGAGGAGUAAUUUCUUCUCGAAUGCUAGGAUGAAUUAUUUAUGCUUUGACAAUAUUAUGUGUCUCUAAAGCAGCUUUUAGUUAUUCGCCACUUCUGGCUACAGCUGAUCCUGCUGCCCAUUCUUGUAAUUACAUUAACCUCUUGACUUUACAUGACAAGCUUUUCCUGUGUGCUGCGAUCAAUAGCCUAUAACUACACCUCUUUAAUAAGGCCAUAGUUAUACUUUGGUUCAGAUAUAAUUAACUUUUGUCCCCAUUUUCUUUUUGGUGGGGUAUGGAAUAAAACGUCUUACUUUAACA
ensembl:lncRNA